CAUACAUAUAUAUAUAUAUACAUAUAUAUAUAAAAGCCUAAGCGACCUUUAUUAUCAGAUGACCAGAUGACAGGAUGACCGGCCGGUAGCUAUGAUGUGCAC